UAUUACAGAACAUACCCCUCUUAUAAUCUCUUAUCUCCUCUUCUGUUCUUCACAAAGAAAGAAGAGUUUUGAUACAGAAACUCUCUCUCUAACCAUAUUUUUGUUCUGUAGAAACCCACAAAUCCGAGAGAAACUAUGAAUAAACAAGAUGUUAUGAAGCUUCAGACAUGUGUUCUGAAAGUGAACGUACACUGUGAAGGCUGUAAGCAUAAAGUGAAGAAACAGUUGCAGAAAAUCGAAGGUGUGUACUCUGUAAAAGCAGAUGUAGAACAGGGGAAAGUUACUGUCACAGGGAACGUUGACCCUACUCUUCUCGUUAAGAAGCUGAGCAAGUCGGGGAAACAUGCCGAGAUUAUAGGCGGUGGUGGCGGAGGAGGAGGAAAAGGAUGCCUAAUUUGAAUGGUAAAGGUGGAAAAGAGAGCAACCAAGUUAAGGGGAAAGGUAACGGUGGUGGUGGUGGUGGUCAGAAUCAAGGACAUGGAGGUCAACCAUGCAGUUGACUCCUCAGCAGAUCAACAGAUGAUGAUGAUGAAGGCUGCUCAAGCUGGUGGUGGUCAUGGUGGGAAAGGAUAUGAAGAUGAUGAUGCCUCCUGUGGCGGUCUAAGGAUCAAGAAGAAGUCUGUUAAGUUUGCGGAAGAAGAUGAUGAUUUUUAGUGAGAUUAUGAUGACGAGUUCAGUGAAGAUGUGAUUAUGAUGACGAUGAGUUCGAUGAUGAGGAUGGUGACAUGGGAGGUCAUGGAGGAGGAGGAGGUCAUGGAGGAGGAGGAGGUAAGCAUCACAUGCCUCCAAAUAAGAUGAUGAUGCCUAACAAGAUGCCACAAAUGAGCCAGCAUGGUGGUGAUGGUGGACCUAAGGGGCCUAAUGAGAUUAUGAUGAUGAUGAAUGGUUUCAAAGCCAGUGGUGGUGGUGGUGGAGGAGGAGCGGGGAAGAAAGGAGGCGGAGGAGGUGGUGGCUUCGAGAUUCCGGUGCAAAUGAAGGGAAUGGGUGAGGGUAAAAUGGGAAAAGAGGGCAAGAAAGGAGGUAAAGGAGGAGAGAAGGGUAAGAAGGAAGGGAAAGAUAGUAAAGGAGGUGGGGGCAAAACCGGCAAAACAGAUGCCAAGAGUGGUGGUGGCCUCUUAGGGUUUUUCAAAAACGUUAAAAGUGGAAAAGGAGAUGAGAAGAAGGGAGGUGGUAAGAAAGAAGGUGGCGGGGGUGAUAAGGUCAAAUCCUCCGGUUGUGGGGGAGGAGGUGUUCACCAUUAUGAUAGUGGGCCUAAAAAGGGAGGAGGUAAAUCGAAAGGAGGAGCUCAUGGGGCCCAUGGUAUUGAUGAUCUAAUGAAACACAACAAAGCAGGCGGAGGAGGUAACAAGGGUAAUCAUAGCGCCAAGGGGAUGGGUAACCACAUGGGACAAGGUGGUCAGAUGGGGAUGAUGGGCCAAGGUGGUCCAAUGGGUCCAGGUGGUCCUAUGGGCAUGAUGAGUCAAGGUGGUCAUCCAAUGGGCAUGAUGGGUCAAGGUGGUCAAAUGGGACACCAAGGCGGCUCCUAUCCGGCCGUACAAGGGUUGCCGAUGAGUGGAGGAGGAGGAUAUUAUCCACCACCAGCUCAGGCAAAUCAUCAAAUGAACCAACAACAGUAUAUGCAAAUGAUGAUGCACCAGCAACAACAACAACAACAAGCUGCUGCAGCUCAUGGAGGAUAUGGUGGUGGUCACGGUGGAGAAAUGUACCAUCCGAUGAUGUAUGCACGGCAGUAUCCAGCAGUGAAUUAUGCUCAUCCGCCGCCAAUGCCGCCUCCACACUCGGGUCCUUAUACUGAUAUGUUCAGUGAUGAGAAUCCAGCUGGUUGUAGUAUCAUGUGAUCUUUGGUAAUGUUAAUUAGACAAAACUGGUAUGAAUAUGUUUAUCUUAGAAGUCUAUAUGUUUUAUCUUAGAAGUCUUGUGUUAUUUUCUUCUUUGGAACUGUCUUUUACGUUUCUAACUCUGCCUAAGAUAUGAACUUUUUUUGGGUGGCAUGAUGUUUAUAAUAUCUCUGAGUUUGGAAAAUGAUGGUUACAAAGUAAGAUAUUUAUUUAGCUUUGUU